rnacentral:lncRNA from 1 species
GGCCACUCGGGGAGAUGUGGCCAAGGCCAGACUCCAUCCCAGGGACAAGUCCCAAGCUUGACCCUCGUUCCCACACCUCAUUGACCCCGCACCACGGAGACACCCGAGGAGGGAUGCCCCCUGCCGGGCUCUGGGCACCCUGGCUCCUUGGUGUCUUCCCAGCCAGCUUCCACCCCUUCCUUGUCCGUGGUUCUCUCAAACGUCCCCCAGCUAAGGGCCACAUGCACAGCUCAAGUCAUCCAAUGUGCCUGCCUAGGGACACUGCACAGGAAGACAGGCCACCCCCACUGGUCCACUUGGAAUGUGCGGGGAGCUAACCCGAGCCCACAGCACCCCGGCUCUCCUAGUUGAGGAGAAGGAGCAGCGAGCCCUGGGAGGGUUGCAGGAUGAGCAAACUGGGAGCCGAGGAGGGGAAGUAAUGGCUCGGGUCUUGCAUGUGGGGGACCAGGUGUCACAGCAGGCGGAUCUGUGUGAGGCCUGGAUGGAGCCUGGAACCUGCAUUCACAAUGAUGGAGCCAGAACCCAUAGCCACUUGUCCCCACUGGCUAAAGGCAUGAAGGCUUAGAAAGUUCAUCUUUUACCCACCUUUUCUGAGGAAGUCACCUGUGGUAACAAAAAUAAUGGAGCCCAAGGAUGUUCACGUCCUGACCUCCAGAAACUGUGAAGAUAUUACUUGAUGUGGCAAAAGGACCCUGCAGGUGUGAUCAAGUUCAGGACACCAGUUGGGAGAUUAUCCUGAGUUAUCUGGAUGGGCCCAGUGUAAUCACAACGGUUCUUAAAACUGGAAGAAGCCAGAAUAUUAUUGCACAAGGCGUGUUGUCUGCCCACUGCAAGACAUGCCAAUAAGC